AAAGCAUGGAAAGCGAAUAGGAUCAGAUAUCCUAAUAGUUCAUGUCGUAAACGAUGAGCGUUUACCCUUGGUCUAUGUGGAUCAAGGGCCAGCUAACGCGUGAAACACUC
rnacentral:rRNA from 1 species